rnacentral:lncRNA from 1 species
CAAACUCUGGAGAUAAGAUAAGAGGGGGUACGUAGCCCUUCCUUCCCCAAAGGAUCUGCUGUGGAGUAAGGAGAUAGACUAAGAAAUCAACCCACUGCAAUGAAGUGUGCCCAUAAAGCUUUAUGAGAUCCCUUAUAAGGAUCCAUCCCUUCUGAGGAGAUCAGAUGCAAGCUUCAUACAGAUGCUGCUGGACCUCCCUGGUCCAGAAUUAAAUUCAAUACAUAAAAAAUC